CUAUCAUCGGUGAAACACUGUUUUUUUUUUUUUGCGGUAGCACUCACGUUCACAUUGGUUGCCCAGACAGACAGUUUGAACAUACUAGGUGUACUUGAAAAAAAGACUGUAAACCGGAAAACCACAAAGACCCAGGGUUCAGAACAUCAAGCAUAUGUAGCUGUUGUGGUAAACAUUGGUAACCAAUAAUGUUUUCAAGAAAGAUGCUUUGCAUUCCAUCAAGAAAAGCUGAAUCUCUAUUCGAAUUUCAUCUCUCGAUAAAAGAAAGGCACGUUUGUAGCGACAAGAAAGAGAGAGAGAGAGACAACGAGGCACACACGACCACCAAAACAUAAGAAAAAAAUACUCAUCAAUGUCGCGCGGUAAAUUGUCUGACAAAUCUCCAUUAUAUCAGUGAAAGCUCCUUAACUUA